UCGGGUCGUAAGCUCUCUAGUGGGAGAAACCCCUGGGACGAUAUACAGGGCUGACGGUACCACAGAAAAAGUUCCGGCUAACUACGUGCCAGCAGCCGCGGUAAAACGUAGGGAGCGAGCGUUGUUCGGAAUUAUUGGGCGUAAAGAGCGCGUAGGCGGCUUGGCAAGUCCGUUGUGAAAUCUCACAGCUUAACUGUGAAACUGCGACGGAAACUGCCUCGCUAGAGUGCGGGAGAGGAGAGUGGAAUUCCCAGUGUAGAGGUGAAAUUCGUAGAUACUGGGAGGAACACCGGUGGCGAAGGCGGCUCUCUGGACCGCAACUGACGCUGAGGCGCGAAAGCUAGGGGAGCAAACGGGAUUAGAUACCCCGGUAGUCCUAGCCGUAAACGAUGGGCACUAGGUGUAGGAGGUAUUGACCCCUUCUGUGCCGCAGCUAACGCAUUAAGUGCCCCGCCUGGGGAGUACGGUCGCAAGACUAAAACUCAAAGGAAUUGACGGGGGCCCGCACAAGCGGUGGAGCAUGUGGUUUAAUUCGACGCAACGCGAAGAACCUUACCUGGGUUUGACAUCCCGCGACAGCAACAGAGAUGUUGUUUUCCUUCGGGACGCGGAGACAGGUGCUGCAUGGCUGUCGUCAGCUCGUGUCGUGAGAUGUUGGGUUAAGUCCCGCAACGAGCGCAACCCAUGCCCUUAGUUGCCAUCGGUUCGGCCGGGAACUCUAAGGGAACUGCCGGUGACAAACCGGAGGAAGGUGUGGAUGACGUCAAGUCCUCAUGGCCUUUAUGCCCAGGGCUACACACGUGCUACAAUGGCCGGUACAAAGGGUCGCAAAUCCGCGAGGAGAAGCCAAUCCCAAAAAGCCGGCCUCAGUUCAGAUUGCAGGCUGCAACUCGCCUGCAUGAAGUCGGAAUCGCUAGUAAUCCCGGAUCAGCAUGCCGGGGUGAAUACGUUCCCGGGCCUUGUACACACCGCCCGUCACACCACGAAAGCCGGUUGUACCAGAAGUCGCUGGGCCAACCCGCAAGGGAGGCAGGUGCCGAA
rnacentral:rRNA from 1 species